UACGUAGGGCGCAAGCGUUGUCCGGAUUCACUGGGUGUAAAGGGUGCGCAGGCGGGAAAGUAAGUUAGAGGUGAAAUCUCACAGCUCAACUGUGAAACGGCCUUUGAUACUGCUUUUCUUGAGUUAGGGAGAGGUUGAUGGAAUUCCAGGUGUAGCGGUGAAAUGCGUAGAGAUCAUGAGGAAGACCAGUGGCGAAGGCGGGUCUCUGGACAGUUCCUGACACUGAGGCACGAAGGCCAGGGGAGCAAACGGG
rnacentral:rRNA from 1 species